CCCCUAGAUGUCCUGGGCCGCACGCGCAAUACAAUGUAAAGUUCAGAAAGCAUAUCCUGUUCCGGAAGGCAAUGGGUAAUCUUUUCAAUAUUUUACGUGUUAGGGAUCGAUCUUUGCAAUUAUAGAUCUUGAACGAGGAAUACCUAGUAAGUGCAGCUCAUCAGGCUGUACUGAUUACGUCCCUGCCCUUUGUACACACCGCCCGUCGCUCCUACCGAUUUCGAGUGGUCCGGUGAAUCCUUUGGAAUUAGAGUGCAAACUCAAACUAAGAUCGAUAAACCUUAUCACUUAGAGGAAGGAGAAGUCGUAACA
rnacentral:rRNA from 1 species